AUCUAAUGCCUCUUUUACUCUUCAUACCAAUAGCUUUCAUUUGAUCUUUUGUGAAAAUGCCGCCAAAGUUCUUUUCCAUUGUUAAAUUUUUCUUUUGUAGGACUGCAUUAAUUUUCUUCUGUCUGUGAAGUUCUCCUUCUAUUGUUCUUAUGUGAAUUUUUUGGUUUUCUAAUUCCUCCCUCAGCUUUUUCACCUCGGUUUCCUGAUUGUAUUCCCUGUUGAUGCAUAUGUCUUGCCCUGUUGACCCUGGCUCAUCAGUUCCUGGCAUGUCCCUGUCCUCUGAGGCUACAAUUUCAUCUUCUUUUUCCCCUUCACUUUCCCUCAUCUCACUUGCCUCAUUUCUGUUUCUUCCUUCCUUCAUCUCUGAAAUUAUAAUGGCACUGUUGGCAUGAAGAUUAGGUAAAAAAUUUGAAACGUAUUAUUUAACACGGUUCGUACCAAAGUUUACUUUAGAACUAUAUGUGUGAUCACUAAUCAGUGGAUCAACAUGCAGUGGAAGUUCUGCUGGACUUCCUCCUCUUUGGUUCUGGGCGAUGAAGAAAAAGGGUUGGAACGGCAUCAACCCUCAGUCUCACUUGGCCUGACUGUGUCCUCACAAACUGUCCUUUUUCAAAGUGUGCCUGUAAAGUGAUUUAUUUAUUUAUUUCCUUGCACAUUUCAUUAGGCCCUUGUGCAUUUUCCAGUGCAGUGUGCAGAUUGAACUUACAGCACAUAGUUUCCAGUUGUUGUGACCUCUGGUGAUGGUGAGGUUGCUUCUACUGACUUGAACCAACCAUUUUUUCCUUCUUUCAGGAUCUUUUGGGAAGCCAUACAUACGGAUUCCUUUCUCUGACCGAUUGGUGCAUCCAAAUGCAGCACACCCAACCAUGCAGAUGUGGUGACUGACUUCAAAAGGAGCUGCUGCCAAUGAUGCCAAGGAGGAUGAACCCUCAUUCGGACUUGGGCACAUUUCUACCUUGUCCAGAUUUGAUCAGAUACAGUUUAUUGGUGCAGAUGUAAUUAAUAAACUGUAUAAAUGGUAGUGCAAGUACUUAUUUAUUAAAGCUAGUUUUGCAUUUUACAUAUCGUACAAUAAAUUGUUUGGUCAUUUAUUUUUGCACAAUUCAGUUGUUUUGUCAUCUAAUACGAUUUUAACUACAUUUUCAAUUAAAUGAACAUUUUAGUUAAUGAAUUACAAUUUUACAACAUUUGUCAGACUACAGGCACAAUCAACUCUGUUAUAGAUACAAGUACUCAGUUCACAUGACAGCAAAAAAUAGUAUAAUUAUGUCUUCUACAAAAAUUAAGAAUUCAUCCCAAGUCUUCAGUCAUAUUUUCAUACAGCUACAUAUUUUCCUAAUUCAUUUAAAAAUUAUUAAAUUUUUUAAUAAAAUUUUAAUUCCG